AUUGAACGCUGGCGGCAGGCCUAACACAUGCAAGUCGAGCGAGCGGCGGACGGGUGAGUAAUGUAUGGGGAUCCUCCUGAUGGAGGGGGAUAACUACUGGAAACGGUCGCCAAAACCGCAUUCCAUCAGUUGAACCCAUAUGGGGUUGGCGUGGAGGUGAGGUAUCGGCUCACCUAGGCGACGAUCCCGAGCUGGUCUGAGAGGAUGAUCAGCCACACUGGGACUGAGACACGGCCCAGACUCCUACGGGAGGCAGCAGUGGGGAAUAUUGCACAAUGGGCGCAAGCCUGAUGCAGCCAUGCCGCGUGUAUGAAGAAGGCCUUCGGGUUGUAAAGUACUUUCAGUCGGGAGGCGUUACCGACAGAAGAAGCACCGGCUAACUCCGUGCCAGCAGCCGCGGUAAUUC
rnacentral:rRNA from 1 species